GCAUGGCCAUCAUAGCCGGCCUCAGAAGGCAUGCCGUCCAAGGAUUACAGCUGAUUGGACAAAGAUUCAGGAAGUCUCCAGAGUGCAAGCCCAGGGAACUUGUAUGAGAUGAAGAGAAGAGCCUAAGCAAGGCAGACCAUAAAGAGCCUACAGCAGCCUGACGAUGGCCGCAGACAAACUGGGAGAGGCACGUCGGGUUAUUUCCAGCCCUUGGCAUAAGGUCUGUUUGAUGGUCUGGAGAACUCUGGGAUACCAUCUGCAGGAACCCCCAACUCCAGUCCCCCACCCACGAGAUGGUAUCUGGGUGGAAUGAGUCCAACAGAAACAAGAAAAAUGGAAGCAUGGCUGAGAGGAAUCGAGGACGAACCAUUUUAGUCCAGAGGACUGUGACAGGAAGCAGCUCUUUCUGGGCGCAUCUGUGUCCAGCGGUUCAACGGGGAAUCGCAUAACGAGAACGCAGCUGGAACUGCAGCUGAGGCCAUGAUGUCUGUGCAAAAGACAGAAGGCAGUGAGGGACUUCAUCCCCGCACUGCCAUCCGGCUCCAGUGGAUUCGCUAACAAACUCGAAGUAUUCUUGUUUAUCACCAGUGCAGCAAUGUUACCGAAAGGUGGGAGGUAGUUCUCAAAGCAACAGUCAAAGGCUGGUUUUGUCCAGGUUCAUCUCAUUCUCAGUGGGACCUGACGAUGGUUUCCGUCAUGAGGCAUCCGUAGAUUCCUCAGUGCAGAGCAUAAAAAAGAUAAGGUGAGCUAAGCAGAGCCAUUUGGUGCUGGUAGUCAUAGGUUACUGGCAAAUUAAGUGCGUGAAUUCCAUAAUAAAAACAUGCAAGGCGAGUCAUUAAUGUGAGUUGCGCCUUGGUGGAGGAGACCUGGGGACAGAUGAUUCGCGGCGAGCUUGGACGUCGCUGGGCAUUGUGGGAUGCCCUGGUCCCCUUGUGUGUGCUCUCAAUCACCCAGCCGGCUUCAUCAGCACGGGACA